rnacentral:rRNA from 1 species
AUUGAACGCUGGCGGCAGGCCUAACACAUGCAAGUCGAGCGGAUGAAGGGAGCUUGCUCCUGGAUUCAGCGGCGGACGGGUGAGUAAUGCCUAGGAAUCUGCCCGGUAGUGGGGGAUAACGUCCGGAAACGGGCGCUAAUACCGCAUACGUCCUGAGGGAGAAAGUGGGGGAUCUUCGGACCUCACGCUAUCAGAUGAGCCUAGGUCGGAUUAGCUAGUUGGUGGGGUAAAGGCCUACCAAGGCGACGAUCCGUAACUGGUCUGAGAGGAUGAUCAGUCACACUGGAACUGAGACACGGUCCAGACUCCUACGGGAGGCAGCAGUGGGGAAUAUUGGACAAUGGGCGAAAGCCUGAUCCAGCCAUGCCGCGUGUGUGAAGAAGGUCUUCGGAUUGUAAAGCACUUUAAGUUGGGAGGAAGGGCAGUAAGUUGAUACCUUGCUGUUUUGACGUUACCAACAGAAUAAGCACCGGCUAACUUCGUG